rnacentral:rRNA from 1 species
GACAGAGGGGGCAAGCGUUGCUCGGAAUUAUUGGGCGUAAAGCGCGCGUAGGCGGUUACUUAAGUCGGAUGUGAAAGCCCGUCGGCCUUAACUGAGGAAGUGCAUCCGAAACUGAGUAGCUAGAGUACGAAAGAGGGUCGCGGAAUUCCCGGUGUAGAGGUGAAAUUCGUAGAUAUCGGGAGGAACACCGGUGGCGAAGGCGGCGACCUGGGUCGAGACUGACGCUGAUGCGCGAAAGCGUGGGGAGCAAACAGG